rnacentral:rRNA from 1 species
GACGAACGCUGGCGGCGUGCUUAACACAUGCAAGUCGAACGGAAAGGCCCUGCUUUUGUGGGGUGCUCGAGUGGCGAACGGGUGAGUAACACGUGAGUAACCUGCCCUUGACUUUGGGAUAACUUCAGGAAACUGGGGCUAAUACCGGAUAGGAGCUCCUGCUGCAUGGUGGGGGUUGGAAAGUUUCGGCGGUGGGGGAUGGACUCGCGGCUUAUCAGCUUGUUGGUGGGGUAGUGGCUUACCAAGGCUUUGACGGGUAGCCGGCCUGAGAGGGUGACCGGCCACCUUGGGACUGCGAGACGGCCCAGACUCCUACGGGAGGCAGCGGUCGGGAAUAUUGCACAAUGGGCGGGAGCCUGAUGCAGCAACGCCGCGUGCGGGAUGACGGCCUUCGGGUUGUAAACCGCUUUCGCCUGUGACGAAGCGUGAGUGACGGUAAUGGGUAAAGAAGCACCGGCUAACUACGUG